GGGAUCGUACUGCGGGCCUUCCGGCAGCGGGCCUUCCCAUGGGCCGACUCCGUGCCGUCCUUCGUUCCAUUCGGUAGGGCCCUU
rnacentral:tRNA from 1 species